AGGAAAGGAUGUCGGAUAUGGGCGUAAGGGCUCGCAGGCGGUUUCUUAAGUCUGAUGUGAAAGCCCCCGGCUCAACCGGGGAGGGUCAUUGGAAACUGGGAAACUUGAGUGCAGAAGAGGAGAGUGGAAUUCCACGUGUAGCGGUGAAAUGCGUAGAGAUGUGGAGGAACACCAGUGGCGAAGGCGACUCUCUGGUCUGUAACUGACGCUGAGGAGCGAAAGCGUGGGGAGCGAACAGGAUUAGAUACCCUGGUAGUCCACGCCGUAAACGAUGAGUGCUAAGUGUUAGGGGGUUUCCGCCCCUUAGUGCUGCAGCUAACGCAUUAAGCACUCCGCCUGGGGAGUACGGUCGCAAGACUGAAACUCAAAGGAAUUGACGGGGGCCCGCACAAGCGGUGGAGCAUGUGGUUUAAUUCGAAGCAACGCGAAGAACCUUACCAGGUCUUGACAUCCUCUGACAACCCUAGAGAUAGGGCUUUCCCUUCGGGGACAGAGUGACAGGUGGUGCAUGGUUGUCGUCAGCUCGUGUCGUGAGAUGUUGGGUUAAGUCCCGCAACGAGCGCAACCCUUGAUCUUAGUUGCCAGCAUUUAUUUGGGCACUCUAAGGUGACUGCCGGUGACAAACCGGAGGAAGGUGGAGAUGACGUCAAAUCAUCAUGCCCCUUAUGACCUGGGCUACACACGUGCUACAAUGGACAGAACAAAGGGCUGCGAGACCGCAAGGUUUAGCCAAUCCCAUAGAUCUGUUCUCAGUUCGGAUCGCAGUCUGCAACUCGACUGCGUGAAGCUGGAAUCGCUAGUAAUCGCGGAUCAGCAUGCCGCGGUGAAUACGUUCCACGGGCCUUGUACACCCCGCCCCGUCAAAA
rnacentral:rRNA from 1 species